AACGACUCUCGGCAACGGAUAUCUCAGCUCUCGCAUCGAUGAAGAACGUAGCGAAAUGCGAUACUUGGUGUGAAUUGCAGAAUCCCGUGAACCAUCGAGUCUUUGAACGCAAGUUGCGCCUCAAGCCUUCGGGCCGAGGGCACGUCUGCCUGG
rnacentral:rRNA from 1 species